UAGGGAAUCUUCCACAAUGGACGAAAGUCUGAUGGAGCAACGCCGCGUGAGUGAAGAAGGUUUUCGGAUCGUAAAGCUCUGUUGUUGGUGAAGAAGGAUAGAGGCAGUAACUGGUCUUUAUUUGACGGUAAUCAACCAGAAAGUCACGGCUAACUACGUGCCAGCAGCCGCGGUAAUACGUAGGUGGCAAGCGUUGUCCGGAUUUAUUGGGCGUAAAGCGAGCGCAGGCGGAAUGAUAAGUCUGAUGUGAAAGCCCACGGCUCAACCGUGGAACUGCAUCGGAAACUGUCAUUCUUGAGUGCAGAAGAGGAGAGUGGAACUCCAUGUGUAGCGGUGGAAUGCGUAGAUAUAUGGAAGAACACCAGUGGCGAAGGCGGCUCUCUGGUCUGCAACUGACGCUGAGGCUCGAAAGCAUGGGUAGCGAACAGGAUUAGAUACCCUGGUAGUCCAUGCCGUAAACGAUGAGCGC
rnacentral:rRNA from 1 species